rnacentral:rRNA from 1 species
CGGGAAUUUUGGGCAAUGGGCGAAAGCCCGACCCAGCAACGCCGCGUGAGGGAUGAAGUAUUUCGGUAUGUAAACCUCGAAAGAAUGGGAAGAAUAAAUGACGGUACCAUUUAUAAGCUCCGGCUAACUACGUGCCAGCAGCCGCGGUAAUACGUAGGGAGCAAGCGUUGUUCGGAUUUACUGGGCGUAAAGGGCGCGUAGGCGGCGCGGUAAGUCACUUGUGAAAUCUCUGAGCUUAACUCAGAACGGCCAAGUGAUACUGCUGUGCUAGAGUGCGGAAGAGGCAACCGGAAUUCUUGGUGUAGCGGUGAAAUGCGUAGAUAUCAAGAGGAACACCUGAGGCGAAGGCGGGUUGCUGGCCCGACACUGACGCUGAUGCGCGAAAGCCAGGGGAGCAAACG